UUGGAAGGUGUCCAGGAGAGACUUCAGAAUGCUCUGGGGUCUGCUCUGCUCUUUCUCGGCUUUAUUAUGGAGAAGAAAGUCUAUUUUCUGAUAUUCAAAACCUCUGGUCUGAUAAUUUGUAAUUAAUGAGAAGUCAAUAUUUACCACAAAUGGCGCCCAACGUGGUGCUGGACAGAGACGAACGGGUGACACUGGACAUGCUGGGGCUUGGAGGAAAAACACAAAUAUGUGGCCACGAUAAAAAACGCGAUAUCUGUGCAGGAAACCAGAAAGGAGCCAUGUGAGAGAGCAGAGAUAUAAGGUCCAAUUGGUCCAGCUGAUCGAGUCUAUCUGUGGAUGCUCUGGAGAGCUCAGGAGGAAAGGACCAUAUCUGGAUGAGGGCAAAUCCAACAGCUGCCAAAGUGGAUGACAUUGAUGAGGUACCAAUGCCUCAAAGGAGCGAAAGGGAACAACUCCAGCAA